GCAAGGACAGCUUCGGGUUCAGUUUCGCUUUGGCCGAUGCUUGCCGGAAGUACACUUAUUUACCGGAAGUUGUCGUCUCCUCCGCAGGCUCUUCGAUCUUCGACUACGCGCGCGGCUCGAUACAAAAUAAAAAUUUAAAAAAAAAAAUAGGAGCCGAAUUUAUGACCUCGGUGUCGUACUGACCCAAGGUAAUAAUAAUGCAACACGGGAGAUUUUGGUUCGUCCCUGCAGGUAUUUUGGUCCCUUUUUAGAAACCUCCUGUAAAGCGUCAAAAGCUCGACUUUUUUGGGCAGGUUCAAACACCAUUCCAACGACCGGUGACCCAUUGGUGUAAUUGGUUGGGGGAGCCCACCGAGAUGAUUGCCCCUGGGCCUCUGCGAUGUCAAAAAAACUAGAGUUGUUCCUAUCCGCCCGUGUUCUAAUCCCGUUAUAUGUCCAGUGCAAACUUUACGUGCAAUACAGAGCUCUACACCUCGUUUUUAGCUUCCUCGGCCGCCUUACGAUGUACCUAAAAAAAUUAGGUAUUUAUGACGGCGAAUCGCCGCAUAGUUUUUGGAGUGGUACAGUUAUCAUGUUGCGUCGCCUUGGUGCGUCGCAAGAAGAUGUUGCUCGCCACGUUGGCUGGCAGUCCACUCAGAUGGUCC